rnacentral:rRNA from 1 species
GAGUUUGAUCUUGGCUCAGAUUGAACGCUGGCGGCAUGCCUUACACAUGCAAGUCGAACGGCAGCAUGAUCUAGCUUGCUAGAUUGAUGGCGAGUGGCGAACGGGUGAGUAAUACAUCGGAACGUGCCCUGUAGUGGGGGAUAACUAGUCGAAAGAUUAGCUAAUACCGCAUACGACCUGAGGGUGAAAGUGGGGGACCGCAAGGCCUCAUGCUAUAGGAGCGGCCGAUGUCUGAUUAGCUAGUUGGUGGGGUAAAGGCCCACCAAGGCGACGAUCAGUAGCUGGUCUGAGAGGACGAUCAGCCACACUGGGACUGAGACACGGCCCAGACUCCUACGGGAGGCAGCAGUGGGGAAUUUUGGACAAUGGGCGAAAGCCUGAUCCAGCAAUGCCGCGUGUGUGAAGAAGGCCUCGGUG